rnacentral:rRNA from 1 species
UACGGAGGAUGCAAGCGUUAUCCGGAAUCAUUGGGCGUAAAGCGUCCGCAGGUGGCACUUCAAGUCUGUCGUCAAAGACCGGGGCUUAACCCUGGAAAGGCGAUGGAAACUGAAGCGCUAGAGUGCGGUAGGGGUAGAGGGAAUUCCCGGUGUAGCGGUGAAAUGCGUAGAGAUCGGGAAGAACAUCGGUGGCGAAAGCGCUCUACUGGACCGCAACUGACACUCAGGGACGAAAGCUAGGGGAGCGAAUGGG